rnacentral:rRNA from 1 species
AACGAACGCUGGCGGCAGGCCUAACACAUGCAAGUCGAACGAGACCUUCGGGUGUAGUGGCGCACGCGUGCGUAACGCGUGGGAACCUGCCCGUAGGCUCGGAAUAACUCCCCGAAAGGGGGGCUAAUACCGGGUAAUGUCUGCUGACCAAAGAUUUAUCGCCCUUGGAUGGGCCCGCGUUGUAUUAGCUAGUUGGGAGGGUAAAAGCCUACCAAGGCGACGAUCCAUAGCGGGUCUGAGAGGAUGAUCCGCCACACUGGGACUGAGACACGGCGCAGACUACUACGGGAGGCAGCCGUGGGUAAUCUUGGAAUAUGGGCGAAAGCAUGAUCCAGCACUGCCGGGUGAGUGAUGAAGGCCUUAGGGUUGUACAGCUCUUUUACACGGGAUGAUACUGACAGUACCGGGAGAAUAAGCUCCGGCUAACUUCGUG